AUUGAACGCUGGCGGCAUGCCUUACACAUGCAAGUCGAACGGUAACAGGUCUUCGUAUGCUGACGAGUGGCGAACGGGUGAGUAAUACAUCGGAACGUGCCCGAUCGUGGGGGAUAACGGAGCGAAAGCUUUGCUAAUACCGCAUACGAUCUACGGAUGAAAGCAGGGGACCGCAAGGCCUUGCGCGGACGGAGCGGCCGAUGGCAGAUUAGGUAGUUGGUGGGAUAAAAGCUUACCAAGCCGACGAUCUGUAGCUGGUCUGAGAGGACGACCAGCCACACUGGGACUGAGACACGGCCCAGACUCCUACGGGAGGCAGCAGUGGGGAAUUUUGGACAAUGGGCGAAAGCCUGAUCCAGCCAUGCCGCGUGCAGGAUGAAGGCCUUCGGGUUGUAAACUGCUUUUGUACGGAACGAAAAGACUCUUUCUAAUAAAGAGGGUCCAUGACGGUACCGUAAGAAUAAGCACCGGCUAACUACGUG
rnacentral:rRNA from 1 species